GAAGACUGGCAGCUCCAGAAACUUAAAUGGAGCUUCAAGUCAGUGUGCAUCUGCCUUCCAGGACCCUACAGUGUGGCAAAAUCCAUUUCAUCCUCCUUACUACCCUGUGAAGUGAGCAUUCUUAUGUUCAUCUUUCAGAAGAAAUCCUGAGCUCUAUGAGGUAAAAGGAAUUUGACGGAGACCACACCGCUAGUAAUUAACAGGGAAGAAUAAUACUGGAGGCAUUCCUUAUAAUUUAAAAAAUGACUCAUACAUCAGACCAAUCAGAGCAUUCAUGGAACUGCUUGCAAUGCCAUGACUCCAAAGUGAUGAAGGGACCUAAAGAACAAAAAUGGCCUGAAUAGAAUGGAAAUCUAGGAUCCAGCCAGGAGCAGAAAUUACAUGAAUUAUUCGGACGGAGAGAAUUUAAUGCAAAGUUGUGCGCUAGAGAAGAGGCAAGGAGAG